rnacentral:lncRNA from 1 species
GCAAAAAGUUAUUUUGGAUGAGCCAUGAAAGAGGUAUUUAUCGAGGAUUUUUGGCGUGUCCUUUGUUUUCGAGUCGCGUUUGGUCCGUUUUAGGGAAAAUUAUGCACAAGUUUUCAUAUAUAGGUACCUAACUUGGAAACAUUAUGUAAACAGCAUUUUUUAAGCAUGGUUUGGGUAGAAGAAAGUUAUUUUGGACAAGCCAUGAAAGAGGUAUUUAUCGAGGAGUUUUUACGUCUCCUUUGUUUUCGAGUCGCGUUUGGUCGGUUUUAGGGCAAAUUCUAGACAAGCUAUCAUAUAUGGGUACCUAACUUGGAAAAAUUCUUUGAGCAGCAUUUUUUUAGCAUGGAUUGGGUAGCAAUAAGUUAUUUUGGAUUAGCCAAGAAAGAGGUAGUUAUCGAGUAGUUUUUGCAUGUCAUUUUUUUUGAGUCGCGUUUGGUCGGUUUUAGGGCAAAUUCUAUACAAGACGUCAUAUAUGGGUACCUAACGUGGAAAAAUUAUGUAAACAACAUUUUUUAAGCAUGGAUUGGGUAGCAAACAAUUUUUUUUGACGAGCCAUGAAAGAGGUAUUUAUCUAGGAGUUUUUACGUGUCCUUUGUUUCCGAGCCGCGUUUGGUCGGUUUUAUGGCAAAUUCUAGACAAGCUGUCAUCUAUGGGUACCUAACUUGGAAAACUUCUAUGAGUAGAAUUUUUAAUCAUGGAUUGGGUAGCAAUAAGUUAUUUUGGACGAGCCAAGAAAGAGGUAGUUAUCAAGGAGUUUUUGCGUGUCCUUUGUUUUUUGAGUCGCGUUUGGUUGGUUUUAGGGCAAAUUCCGUACAAGAUGUAAUAUAUGGGUACCUAACUUGGAAAAAUUAUGUAAACGGCAUUUUUAAUUAUGGAUUGGGUUAUAAAAAGUUACGUUGAAGGAGCCACGAUAGAGUUAGUUAUCGAGGAGUUUUUGCGUGUACUUUGUUUUCGAGUCGCGUUUGGUCGGUUUUAGGGCAAAUUCUGGACAAGCUGUCAUAUAUGGGGACCUAACUUGGAAAAAUUCUGUGAGCAGCAUUUUUUAAGCAUGGAUUGGGUAGCAAUAAGUUAUUUUGGAUGAGCCAAGAAAGAGGUAGUUAUCAAGUAGUUUUUGCAUGUCCUUUGUUUUUGAGUCGCGUUUGGUCGGUUUUAGGGCAAAUUAUGUACAAGACGUCAUAUAUGGGUACCUAACGUGGAAAAAUUCUGUGAACGACAUUUUUAAGCAUGGAUUGGGUAGCAAAAAGUUAUAUUGGACGAGCCACGAAAGAGGUAGUUAUCGAGGAGUUUUUGCGUGUCCUUUGUUUUUGAGUCGCGUUUGGUCGGUUUUAGGGCAAAUUCUGUACAAGAUGUCAUAUAUGGGUACCUAACUUGGAAAUAUUCUGUGAACGGCAUUUUUAAGCAUGGAUUGGGUAGUAAAAAGUUAUUUUGGGCAAGCCACGAAAGAGGUAGCUAUCGAGGAGUUUCUGCGUGUCCUUUGUUUCCGAGUCGCGUUUGGUAGGUUUUAGGGCAAAUUCUGUAACAGAUGCCAUAUAUGGGUACCUAACUUGGAAAAUUUCUGUGAACAACAUUUUUUAAGCAUGGAUUGGGCAGCAAAAAGUUAUUUUGGACGAGACACAAAAGAGGUAUUUAUCGAGGAGUUUUCCCGUGUCCUUUGUUUUCCAGUCGGGUUUUGUCGCUUUUAGGGCAAAUUCUGGACAAGCUGUCAAAUAUGGGUACCUGACUUGGAAAAAUUCUAUGAGCAGCAUUUUUUAAGCAUGGGGUAGCAAUAAGUUAUUUUGGACGAGGCAGGAAAGAGGUAUUUAUCGAGUAGUUUUUGCGUGUCCUUUGUCUUCGAGUCGCGUUUGGUCGGUUUUAGGGCAAAUUUUGUACAAGACGUCAUAUAUGGGUACCUAACGUGGAAAAAUUAUGUAAACGACAUUUUCUAAGCAUGGAUUGGGUAGCAAAAAGAUAUUUCAGAUGAGCCAUGAAAGAGGUAUUUUUGAGGAUUUUUGGCGUGUCCUUUGUUUUCGAGUCGCGUUUGGUCGGUUUUAGGGCAAAUUAUGCACAAGUUUUCAUAUAUGGGUACCUAACUUGGAAAAAUUCUGUGAGUAGCAUUUUUUAAGCAUGGAUUGGGUAGCAAUAAGUUAUUUUGGACGAGCCAAGAAAGAGGUAGUUAUCGUUGAGUUUUUGCGUGUCCUUUAUUUUUGAGUCGCGUAUGUUGGUUUUAGGGCAAAUUCUGUACAAGAUGUAAUAUAUGGGUACCUAACUUGGAAAAAUUAUGUGAAUGGAAUUUUUUAAGCAUGGAUUGGGUUAUAAAAAGUUAUGUUGGACAAGCCACGAAAGAGUUAGUUAUCGAGGAGUUUUUGCGUGUCUUUUGUUUUUGAGUCGCGUUCGGUAGGUUUAAGGGCAAAUUAUGCACAAGAUGUCAUAUAUGGGUACCUAACUUGGAAAAAUUAUGUAAACGGCAUUUUUUAAGCAUGGAUUGGGUAGCAAAAGUUAUUUUGGACGAGCCAUGAAAGAGGUAUUUAUCGAGGAGUUUUUGCGUGUCCUUUGUUUUCGAGUCGCAUUUGGUUGGUUUUAGGGCAAAUUGUGGACAAGCUGUCAUAUAUGGAUACCUAACUUGAAAAAAUUAUGUGUCCAGCAUUUUUUAAGCAUGGAUUAGGUAGCAAUAAGUUAUUUUGGAUGAGCCAAGACAGAGGUAGUUAUCGAGUAGUUUUUCCGUAUCCUUUGUUUUUGAGUCGCGUUUGGUCGGUUUUAGGGCAAAUUCUGUACAAGACGUCAUAUAUCGGUACCUAACAUGGAAAAAUUCUGUGAACAAAAUUUUUCAAGCAUGGAUUGGGUAGCAAAAAGUUAUUUUGGACGAGCCAUGAAAGAGGUAGUUAUCGAGGAAUUUUUGCGUGUCCUUUGUUUUUGAGUCGCGUUUGGUCGGUUUUAGGGUAAAUUCUAUACAAGAUGUCAUAUAUGGGUACCUAACUUGGAAAUAUUCUGUGAACGACAUUUUUAAGCAUGGAUUGGGUAGCAAAAAGUUAUUUUGGGCAAGCCACCAAAGAGGUAAUUAUCGAUGAGUUUCUGCAUGUCGCGUUUGGUCGCUUUUAGGGCAAAUUCUGUAACAGAUGUCAUACAUGGUACCUACAUUGGAAAUUUUCUGCGAACGGCAUUCUUUUAAGCAUGGAUUUGGUAGAAAAAAUUAUUUUGGACGAGCCACAAAAGAGGUAGUUAUCGAGGAGUUUCUGCGUGUCCUUUGUUUUUGAGUCGCGUUUGAUCGGUUUUAGGGCAAAUUCUAUAACAGAUGCCAUAUAUGGUACCUAACUUGGAAAAAAUUUGUGAACGGCAUUUUUUAAGCAUGGAUUGGGCAGCAAAAAGUUAUUUUGGAUGAGCCUUGAAAGAGGUAUUUAUCAAGGAGUUUUUGUGUGUCCUUUGUUUUCGAGUCGCGUUUGGUCGGUUUUCGGGUAAAUUAUGUACAAGAGGUCAUGUAUGGUUACCUAACUUGGAAAAUUUCUAUGAAUGGAAUUUUUUAUGAAUGGAUUGGGUAGCUAAAAGUUAUUUUGGAUGAGCCAAGAAAGAGGUACUUAUAGAGGAGGUUUUGCGUGUCCUUUGUUUUCGAGUCGCGUUUGGUUGGUUCAAGGGCAAAUUUUGUACAAGAUGUCAUAUAUGGGUACCUAACUUGGAAAAAUUUUGUGAACGGAAUUUUUUAAGCAUGGAUUGGGUAGCAAAAAGUUAUGUUGGACGAGCCACUAAAGAGGUAGUUAUCGGGGAGUUUUUGCGUGUCCUUUGUUUUCGAGUCGCGUUUGGUCGGUUUUGGGGCAAAUUCUGUACAACAUGUCANNNNNNNNNNUUUUUUUGGACGAGCCAUGACAGAGGUAUUUAUCGAGGAGUUUUUGCGUGUCCUUUGUUUUCGAGUCGCGUUUGGUCGGUUUUAGGGUAAAUUAUGUACAAGAGGUCAUGUAUGGUUACCUAACUUGGAAAAUUUCUACGAAUGGAAUUUUUUAUGAAUGGAUUGGGUAGCUAAAAGUUAUUUUGGAUGGGCCAAGAAAGAGGUAGUUAUAGAGGAGGUUUUGCGUGUCCUUUGUUUUCCAGUCGCGUUUGGUUUGUUCAAGGGCAAAUUUUGUACAAGAUGUCAUAUAUGGGUACCUAACUUGGAAAAAUUAUGUGAACGACAUUUUUUAAGCAUGGAUUGGGUAGAAAAAAGUUAUGUUGGACGAGCCACUAAAAAGUUAGUUAUCGGGGAGUUUUUGCGUGUCCUUUGUUUUCGAGUCGCGUUUGGUCGGUUUUAGGGCAAAUUCUGUACAACAUGUCAUAUAUGGGUACCUAACUUUGGAAAGAUUCUGUGAAUGGCAUUUUUUAAGCAUGGAUUGGGUAGCAAAAAGUUAUUUUGGAAGAGCCACGAAAGAGGUAGUUAUCGAGGAGUUUUUGCAUGUCAUUUGUUUUCGAGUCGCGUUUGGUCGGUUUUAGGGCAAAUUCUGUACAAGAUGUCAUAUAUGGGUACCUAACUUGGAAAAAUUCUAUGACCGGCUUUUUGCGUGUCCUUUGUUUUCGAGUCGCGNNNNNNNNNNAGGAGUUUGUGCGUGUCCUUUGUUUUCGAGUCGCGUUUGGUCGGUUUUAGGGCAAAUUUUGUACAACAUGUCAUAUAUGGGCACCUAACUUGGAAUAAUUCUAUGACCGGCUUUUUAAGCAUGGAUUGGGUAGCAGAAAUUUAUGUUGGACGAGCCACGAAAGAGGUAGUUACCGAGGAGUUUUUGCGUGUUCUUUGUUUUUGAGUCACGUUUGGUCGGUUUUAGGGCAAAUUCUAUACAAGAUGUAAUAUGUGGGUACCUAACUUGGAAAAAUUAUGUGAAAGGCAUUUUUAAGCAUGGAUUGGGUUAUAAAAAGUUAUGUUGGACGAGCCACGAAAGAGUUAGUUAUCGAGGAGUUUUUGCGUGUCCUUUGUUUUUGAGUCGUGUUUGGUAGGUUUAAGGGCAAAUUAUGCACAAGUUUUCAUAUAUGGGUACCUAACUUGGAAAAAUUAUGUAAACAACAUUUUUUAAGCAUGGAUUGGGUAGCAAAAAGUUUUUUUGGACGAGCCAUGACAGAGGUAUUUAUCGAGGAGUUUUUGCGUGUCCUUUGUUUUCGAGUCGCGUUUGGUCGGUUUUAGGGUAAAUUAUGUACAAGAGGUCAUGUAUGGUUACCUAACUUGGAAAAUUUCUAUGAAUGGAAUUUUUUAUGAAUGGAUUGGGUAGCUAAAAGUUAUUUUGGAUGAGCCAAGAAAGAGGUAGUUAUAGAGGAGGUUUUGCGUGUCCUUUGUUUUCGAGUCGCGUUUGGUUGGUUCAAGGGAAAAUUUUGUACAAGAUGUCAUAUAUGGGUACCUAACUUGGAAAAAUUCUGUGAACGACAUUUUUUAAGCAUGGAUUGGGUAGCAAAAAGUUAUGUUGGACGAGCCACUAAAGAGGUAGUUAUCGGGGAGUUUUUGCGUGUCCUUUGUUUUCGAGUCGCGUUUGGUCGGUUUUAUGGCAAAUUCUGUACAACAUGUCAUAUAUGGGUACCUAACUUUGGAAAGAUUCUGUGAAUGGCAUUUUUUAAGCAUGGAUUGGGUAGCAAAAAGUUAUUUUGGAAGAGCCACGAAAGAGGUAGUUAUCGAGGAGUUUUUGCAUGUCAUUUGUUUUCGAGUCGCGUUUGGUCGGUUUUAGGGCAAAUUCUGUACAAGAUGUCAUAUAUGGGUACCUAAAUUGGAAAAAUUAUAUGACCGNNNNNNNNNNGAGGUAGUUAUCGAGGAGUUUUUGCAUGUCAUUUGUUUUCGAGUCGCGUUUGGUCGGUUUUAGGGCAAAUUCUGUACAAGAUGUCAUAUAUGGGUACCUAACUUGGAAAAAUUCUAUGACCGGCUUUUUGCGUGUCCUUUGUUUUCGAGUCGCGUUUAGUCGGUUUUAGGGCAAAUUAUGUACAACAUGUCAUAUAUGGGUACCUAACUUUGGACAAAUUCUGUGAAUGGCAUUUUUAAGCAUGGAUUGGGUAGCAAAAAGUUAUUUUGGAAGAGCCACGAAAGAGGUAGUUAUCGAGUCACGUUUGGUCAGUUUUAGGGCAAAUUUUGUACAAGAUGUCAUAUAUGGGUACUUAACUUGGAAAAAUUCUUUGACCGGCUUUUUAAGCAUGGAUUGGGUAGCCAAAAGUUAUUUUGGACGAGCCAUGAAACAGGUAGUUAUCGAGAAGUUUUUGCGUGUCCUUUGUUUUCGAGUCGCGUUUGGUCGGUUUUAGGGUAAAUUAUGUACAAGAGGUCAUGUAUGGUUACCUAACUUGGAAAUUUUCUAUGAACGGAAUUUUUUNNNNNNNNNNNNNNNNNNNNNNNNNNNNNNNNNNNNNNNNNNNNNNNNNNNNNNNNNNNNNNNNNNNNNNNNNNNNNNNNNNNNNNNNNNNNNNNNNNNNNNNNNNNNNNACUUGGAAAAAUUCUAUGACCGGCUUUUUGCGUGUCCUUUGUUUUCGAGUCGCGUUUGGUCGGUUUUAGGGCAAAUUAUGUACAACAUGUCAUAUAUGGGUACCUAACUUUGGACAAAUUCUGUGAAUGGCAUUUUUAAGCAUGGAUUGGGUAGCAAAAAGUUAUUUUGGAAGAGCCACGAAAGAGGUAGUUAUCGAGUCACGUUUGGUCAGUUUUAGGGCAAAUUUUGUACAAGAUGUCAUAUAUGGGUACUUAACUUGGAAAAAUUCUUUGACCGGCUUUUUAAGCAUGGAUUGGGUAGCCAAAAGUUAUUUUGGACGAGCCAUGAAACAGGUAGUUAUCGAGAAGUUUUUGCGUGUCCUUUGUUUUCGAGUCGCGUUUGGUCGGUUUUACGGUAAAUUAUGUACAAGAGGUCAUGUAUGGUUACCUAACUUGGAAAUUUUCUAUGAACGGAAUUUUUUAAGAAUGGAUUGGGUAGCUAAAAGUUAUUUUGGACGAGCCAAGGAAGAGGUAGUUAUAGAGGAGGUUUUGCGUGUCCUUUGUUUUCGAGUCGCGUUUGGUUGGUUCAAGGGCAAAUUUUGUACAAGAUGUCAUAUAUGGGUACCUAACUUGGAAAAUUCUGUGAAUCAAAUUUUUUAAGCAUGGAUUGGGUAGCAAAAAUUUAUGUUGGACGAGCCACUAAAGAGGUAGUUAUCGAGGNNNNNNNNNNUUUUUAAGCAUGGAUUGGGUAGCAGAAAUUUAUGUUGGACGAGCCACGAAAGAGGUAGUUACCGAGGAGUUUUUGCGUGUUCUUUGUUUUUGAGUCACGUUUGGUCGGUUUUAGGGCAAAUUCUGUACAAGAUGUAAUAUAUGGGUACCUAACUUGGAAAAAUUAUGUGAACGGCAUUUUUAAGCAUGGAUAGGGUUAUAAAAAGUUAUGUUGGACGAGCCACGAAAGAGUUAGUUAUCGAGGAGUUUUUGCGUGUCCUUUGUUUUUGAGUCGUGUUUGGUAGGUUUAAGGGCAAAUUAUGCACAAGUUUUCAUAUAUGGGUACCUAACUUGGAAAAAUUAUGUAAACAACAUUUUUUAAGCAUGGAUUGGGUAGCAAAAAGUUUUUUUGGACGAGCCAUGACAGAGGUAUUUAUCGAGGAGUUUUUGCGUGUCCUUUGUUUUCGAGUCGCGUUUGGUCGGUUUUAGGGUAAAUUAUGUACAAGAGGUCAUGUAUGGUUACCUAACUUGGAAAAUUUCUACGAAUGGAAUUUUUUAUGAAUGGAUUGGGUAGCUAAAAGUUAUUUUGGAUGGGCCAAGAAAGAGGUAGUUAUAGAGGAGGUUUUGCGUGUCCUUUGUUUUCCAGUCGCGUUUGGUUUGUUCAAGGGCAAAUUUUGUACAAGAUGUCAUAUAUGGGUACCUAACUUGGAAAAAUUAUGUGAACGANNNNNNNNNNAUGUCAUAUAUGGGUACCUAACUUUGGACAAAUUCUGUGAAUGGCAUUUUUAAGCAUGGAUUGGGUAGCAAAAAGUUAUUUUGGAAGAGCCACGAAAGAGGUAGUUAUCGUGUCACGUUUGGUCAGUUUUAGGGCAAAUUUUGUACAAGAUCUCAUAUAUGGGUACUUAACUUGGAAAAAUUCUUUGACCGGCUUUUUAAGCAUGGAUUGGGUAGCCAAAAGUUAUUUUGGACGAGCCAUGAAACAGGUAGUUAUCGAGAAGUUUUUGCGUGUCCUUUGUUUUCGAGUCGCGUUUGGUCGGUUUUAGGGUAAAUUAUGUACAAGAUGUCAUGUAUGGUUACCUAACUUGGAAAAUUUCUAUGAACGGAAUUUUUUAAGAAUGGAUUGGGUAGCUAAAAUUUAUUUUGGACGAGCCAAGGAAGAGGUAGUUAUAGAGGAGGUUUUGCGUGUCCUUUGUUUUCGAGUCGCGUUUGGUUGGUUCAAGGGCAAAUUUUGUACAAGAUGUCAUAUAUGGGUACCUAACUUGGAAAAAUUCUGUGAAUCAAAUUUUUUAAGCAUGGAUUGGGUAGCAAAAAUUUAUGUUGGACGAGCCAGUAAAGAGGUAAUUAUCGAGGAGUUUUUGCGUGUCCUUUGUUUUCGAGUCGCGUUUGGUCGGUUUUAGGGCAAAUUUUGUACAACAUGUCAUAUAUGGGUACCUAACUUGGAAUAAUUCUAUGACCGGCUUUUUAAGCAUGGAUUGGGUAGCAGAAAUUUAUGUUGGACGAGCCACGAAAGAGGUAGUUACCGAGGAGUUUUUGCGUGUUCUUUGUUUUUGAGUCACGUUUGGUCGGUUUUAGGGCAAAUUCUGUACAAGAUGUAAUAUAUGGGUACCUAACUUGGAAAAAUUAUGUGAACGGCAUUUUUAAGCAUGGAUNNNNNNNNNNUUUUUUUGGACGAGCCAUGACAGAGGUAUUUAUCGAGGAGUUUUUGCGUGUCCUUUGUUUUCGAGUCGCGUUUGGUCGGUUUUAGGGUAAAUUAUGUACAAGAGGUCAUGUAUGGUUACCUAACUUGGAAAAUUUCUACGAAUGGAAUUUUUUAUGAAUGGAUUGGGUAGCUAAAAGUUAUUUUGGAUGGGCCAAGAAAGAGGUAGUUAUAGAGGAGGUUUUGCGUGUCCUUUGUUUUCCAGUCGCGUUUGGUUUGUUCAAGGGCAAAUUUUGUACAAGAUGUCAUAUAUGGGUACCUAACUUGGAAAAAUUAUGUGAACGANNNNNNNNNNUUGACCGGCUUUUUAAGCAUGGAUUGGGUAGCCAAAAGUUAUUUUGGACGAGCCAUGAAACAGGUAGUUAUCGAGAAGUUUUUGCGUGUCCUUUGUUUUCGAGUCGCGUUUGGUCGGUUUUAGGGUAAAUUAUGUACAAGAGGUCAUGUAUGGUUACCUAACUUGGAAAUUUUCUAUGAACGGAAUUUUUUUAAGAAUGGAUUGGGUAGCUAAAAGUUAUUUUGGACGAGCCAAGGAAGAGGUAGUUAUAGAGGAGGUUUUGCGUGUCCUUUGUUUUCGAGUCGCGUUUGGUUGGUUCAAGGGCAAAUUUUGUACAAGAUGUCAUAUAUGGGUACCUAACUUGGAAAAAUUCUGUGAAUCAAAUUUUUUAAGCAUGGAUUGGGUAGCAAAUAUUUAUGUUGGACGAGCCACUAAAGAGGUAGUUAUCGAGGAGUUUGUGCGUGUCCUUUGUUUUCGAGUCGCGUUUGGUCGGUUUUAGGGCAAAUUUUGUACAACAUGUCAUAUAUGGGCACCUAACUUGGAAUAAUUCUAUGACCGGCUUUUUAAGCAUGGAUUGGGUAGCAGAAAUUUAUGUUGGACGAGCCACGAAAGAGGUAGUUACCGAGGAGUUUUUGCGUGUUCUUUGUUUUUGAGUCACGUUUGGUCGGUUUUAGGGCAAAUUCUGUACAAGAUGUAAUAUAUGGGUACCUAACUUGGAAAAAUUAUGUGAACGGCAUUUUUAAGCAUGGAUUGGGUUAUAAAAAGUUAUGUUGGACGAGCCACGAAAGAGUUAGUUAUCGAGGAGUUUUUGCAUGUCCUUUGUUUUUGAGUCGUGUUUGGUAGGUUUAAGGGCAAAUUAUGCACAAGUUUUCAUAUAUGGGUACCUAACUUGGAAAAAUUAUGUAAACAACAUUUUUUAAGCAUGGAUUGGGUAGCAAAAAGUUUUUUUGGACGAGCCAUGAAAGAGGUAUUUAUCGAGGAGUUUUUGCGUGUCCUUUGUUUUCGAGUCGCGUUUGGUCGGUUUUAGGGUAAAUUAUGUACAAGAGGUCAUGUAUGCUUACCUAACUUGGAAAAAUUCUGUGAGCAGAAUUUUUUAUGAAUGGAAUUUUUUAUGAAUGGAUUGGGUAGCUAAAAAUUAUUUUGGAUGAGCCAAGGAAGAGGUAGUUAUAGAGGAGGUUUUGCGUGUCCUUUGUUUUCGAGUCGCGUUUGGUUGGUUCAAGGGCAAAUUUUGUACAAGAUGUCAUAUAUGGGUACCGAAGUUGGAAAAAUUAUGUGAACGACAUUUUUAAUUAUGGAUUGGGUUAUAAAAAGUUAUGUUGGAGGAGCCACGAUAGAGUUAGUUAUCGAGGAGUUUUUGCGUGUCCUUUGUUUUCGAGUCGCGUUUGGUCGGUUUUAGGGCAAAUUCUGGACAAGCUGUCAUAUAUGGGUACCUAACUUGGAAAAAUUCUGUAAACGGCAUUUUUAAGCAUGGAUUGGGUAGCAAAAAGUUAUUUUUGGACGAGCCAUGAAAGAGGUAUUUAUCGAGGAGGUUUUGCGUGUACUUUGUUUUCGAGUCGCGUUUGGUCAGUUUUAGGGCAAAUUAUGGACAAGCUGUCAUAUAUGGGUACCUGACUUGGAAAAAUUGUGUGAGCAGCAUUUUUUAAGCACGGAUUGGGUAGUAAUAAGUUAUUUUGGAUGAGCUAAUAAAGAGGUAGUUAUCGAGUAGUUUUUGCGUGUCCUUUGUUUUCGAGUCGCGUUUGGUCGGUUUUACGUCAAAUUCUGGACAAGCUGUCAUAUAUGGGUACCUAACUUGGAAAAAUUCUGUGAGCAGAAUUUUUUAAGUAUGGAUUGCGUAGCAAUAUGUUGUUUUGGACAAGCCAUGAAAGAGGUAUUUAUCGAGGAGUUUUUGCGUGUCUUUUGUUUUCGAGUCGCGUUUGGUCGGUUUUAGGGCAAAUUCUGCACAAGCUGUCAUAUAUGGGUACCUAACUUGGAAAAAUUCUAUGAGCAGCAUUUUUUAAGCAUGGAUUGGGUAGCAAUAAGUUAUUUUGGAUGAGCCAAGAAAGAGGUACUUAUCAAGUAGUUUUUGCAUGUCCUUUGUUUUCGAGUCGCGUUUGGUCGGUUUUAGGGCAAAUUAUGUACAAGACAUCAUAUAUGGGUACCUAAUGUGGAAAAAUUAUGUAAACAACAUUUUUUAAGCAUGGAUUGGGUAGCAAAAAGUUAUUUUGGACGAGCCAUGAAAGAGGUAUUUAUCGAGGAGUUUUGCGUGUCCUUUGUUUUCGAGUCGCGUUUGGUCGUUUUAGGGCAAAUUCUGGUCAAGAUGUCGUAUAUGGGUACCUAAGUUGGAAAAAUUCUGUGAGUAGCAUUUUUUAAGCAUGAAUUGGGUAGCAAUAAGUUAUUUUGGAUGUGCCAAGAAAGAGGUAGUUAUCGAGUAGUUUUUGCUUGUCCUUUGUUUUCGAGUCACGUUUAGUCGGUUUUAGGGCAAAUUCUGUACAAGACGACGUAUAUGGGUACCUAACGUGGAAACAUUCUGUGAACGACAUUUUUAAGCAUAGAUUGGGUAGCAAAAAGUUAUAUUGGACGAGCCACGAAAGAGGUAGUUAUCGAGGAGUUUUUGCGUGUCCUUUGUUUUUGAGUCGCGUUUGGUCAGUUUUAGGGCAAAUUCUGUACAAGAUGUCAUAUAUGGGUACCUAACUUGGAACUAUUCUGUGAACAACAUUUUUAAGCAUGGAUUGGGUAGUAAAAAGUUAUUUUGGGCAAGCCACGAAAGAGGUAGUUAUCGAGGAGUUUCUGCGUGUUCUUUGUUUCCGGGUCGCGUUUGGUAGGUUUUAGGGCAAAUUCUGUAACAGAUGCAAUAUAUGGGUACCUAACUUGGAAAAUAUCUGUGAACGACAUUUUUUAUGCAUGGAUUGGGCAGCAAAAAGUUAUUUUGGACGAGACACAAAAGAGGUAUUUAUCCAGGAGUUUUUCCGUGUCCUUUGUUUUCGAGUCGGGUUUGGUCAGUUUGAGGGUAAAUUCUGUACAAGAUGUCAUGUAUGGUUACCUAUCUUGGAAAAUUUCUGUGAACGGCAUUUUUUAAGCAUGGAUUGGGUAGAUAAAAGUUAUUUUGGACGAGACAUGAAAGAGGUUGUUAUCAAGGAGUUUUUGCGUGUCCUUUGUUUUUGAGUCGCGUUUGGUCGGUUCAAGGGCAAAUUAUGUACAAUAUGUCAUAUAUGUGUCGGUUCCCGGGCUGAUUUCCACGAUUGACGAACCCUGGGGUGCAUUUACUUGUCGGUCAUCAACACCCGCAGUUUUGGCCGAUUCUGGCCCGUUUCGUGCACUAUUACACACUGUUUUAGGGUCCCGGAGUGAUUUCCAUGAUUAACGAACUCUGG